rnacentral:rRNA from 2 species
UUGGACCUGAUAUCAAACAAGACUACCC